rnacentral:lncRNA from 1 species
CUUCAUAAGCAGCACACCCAUUAUUGUAAUGACCAUGCUGAACAUACAUAAAGAUGCCGGAAUCUGCAGUAUUCAUCAGCUAACACUAGAUGUGGCUCACGUGCUUCAGAAACUAGUAAUGAUGUCUAAGAAUGUGUCCCUGAGAACUCCUGUCUUCAGUCAUCCAUCAGCAAGGGUGACAGAUGCACCAGUGAGGAGCUAUGUAGUGCUGUCAAUUUUACAGCACACCAAAGGGAAGACUGACUCCCCAAACACACCAUUCUGCUCACAUGUGCUCUGA